GAGUUGUGCAUUAUGGGUUGGGGAAC
rnacentral:piRNA from 1 species